UCAUGGGUUGAGUUGAGUUGA
rnacentral:siRNA from 1 species